UAUGGCCACAUCACGUUGAAACAUCGGUUCCCAUACGCGAUCACCGAAGCUAAGCAACGUCGAGCCUUGUCACUACCUAGAUGGGUGACCGUUUAGGAAUACUUGGUGCUGUAAG
rnacentral:rRNA from 1 species